rnacentral:tRNA from 1 species
AGAACUGUAGGUUAAAUCUAUUUUUAAACCAUUGGCCUUCAAAGCCGAAAAUGAAUAAUUCCAGUUUUG